rnacentral:rRNA from 1 species
UACGAAGGGGGCUAGCGUUGCUCGGAAUCACUGGGCGUAAAGGGCGCGUAGGCGGCUGUUUAAGUCGGAGGUGAAAGCCCGUGGCUCAACCACGGAAAGGCCUUCGAUACUGGACGGCUUGAGACCGGAAGAGGACGGCGGAACUGCGAGUGUAGAGGUGAAAUUCGUAGAUAUUCGCAAGAACACCAGUGGCGAAGGCGGCUGUCUGGUCCGGUUCUGACGCUGAGGUGCGAAAGCGUGGGGAGCAAACAGG